rnacentral:rRNA from 1 species
UGGAUUGGGUUUAAGGGUGCGUAGGCGGUCCUAUAAGUCAGUGGUGAAAGACGGCAGCUUAACUGUCGCAGUGCCUUUGAUACUGUAGGACUUGAAUCUAUUUGAAGUGGGCGGAAUAAGACAAGUAGCGGUGAAAUGCAUAGAUAUGUCUUAGAACUCCGAUUGCGAAGGCAGCUCACUAAGUUAGUAUUGACGCUGAUGCACGAAAGCGUGGGGAUCAAACAGGAUUAGAUACCCUGGUAGUCCACGCCCUAAACGAUGAUAACUCGAUGUUUGCGAUACACAGUAAGCGUCCAAGCGAAAGCGUUAAGUUAUCCACCUGGGGAGUACGGUCGCAAGAUUGAAACUCAAAGGAAUUGACGGGGGCCCGCACAAGCGGAGGAGCAUGUGGUUUAAUUCGAUGAUACGCGAGGAACCUUACCCGGGCUUGAAAGUUAGUGAAUGAUCCAGAGACGGAUCAGUCCUUCGGGACACGAAACUAGGUGCUGCAUGGCUGUCGUCAGCUCGUGCCGUGAGGUGUUGGGUUAAGUCCCGCAACGAGCGCAACCCCUAUGUUUAGUUGCCAGCACAUUAAGGUGGGGACUCUAAACAGACUGCCAGCGUAAGCUGUGAGGAAGGUGGGGACGACGUCAAGUCAUCAUGGCCCUUACGUCCGGGGCUACACACGUGCUACAAUGGAUGGUACAGCGGGCAGCUACAUAGCAAUAUGGUGCUAAUCUCUAAAAGCCAUUCACAGUUCGGAUUGAGGUCUGCAACUCGACCUCAUGAAGUUGGAUUCGCUAGUAAUCGCGUAUCAGCAAUGACGCGGUGAAUACGUUCCCGGGCCUUGUACACACCGCCCGUCAAGCCAUGAAAGUUGGGGGUACCUAAAGCAUGUAACCGCAAGGAGCGUGUUAGGGUAAAACCGAUUGGGGCUAAGUCGUACAGGGUUAACCGUAA